rnacentral:rRNA from 1 species
UACAGAGGUGGCAAGCGUUGUUCGGAAUUACUGGGCGUAAAGGGCGCGUAGGCGGCCUGUUAAGUCGAACGUGAAAUCCCCGGGCUCAACCCGGGAACUGCGUCCGAUACUGGCAGGCUUGAAUCCGGGAGAGGGAUGCGGAAUUCCAGGUGUAGCGGUGAAAUGCGUAGAUAUCUGGAGGAAUACCGGUGGCGAAGGCGGCAUCCUGGACCGACAUUGACGCUGAGGAGCGAAAGCUAGGGGAGCAAACGGG